UUUCCUCUGCUUGUGAGUCUCCAUUUCUCCACACUUAGUACUUUUCCUAUUCGGGACCGGGCCCUGAGACCCCUUCCUGAGUAUAAGGGGAUCCGGAGCUGAGAAAACUCAAGAUCAAGGAAUCUCAGAGCUGCUCGUUCUCCUGACAGCAGAGGAGUGUGAGAGCCGGAGACAAUCAGUAACUUGUUCCAUCAAGGAAAGGCCGGUGCACUGACCAGAGGCAAGAGGGCUUCCCUGCAUCAAUGCCAAGCCCCCACUCGGGACCUCUAGGUCAGGCUGGAGGCCCUGCAGCUGUGGUGAGUGCCAGAUGGCAUCCCAGUGGCCAGGCUGCAGGGCGCCUGAGGACCCUGUGGUUUGAGACUGAGAAUUCAAGAAUUCUAGAAUCACAGAGGAACGCUAACCAUCUCGGCUGGAGAGAACUCUGUAAUCACGUUUUUGUUUUUUUUAGAGAGGGGCUUCUUCCCACCCCCAGUGUUUAACGUGCAUUUUCUAGUCCUGCGAUGGCCAAGCUUCCAACAUGGCAGGCCUCCAAUUUGUUGAAAUCCUUUUGUUCCACACACAGUGCUCCCGGAGGCCUUGAAGCUUAUUACAGGUCACUUGGUAAAUCGGAAGGCCCCCGCUUUCCUGAUGUUGAACUCGGCUGGUUGAGCGUCAACCUAGGCACAAGGCCACCAAGGAAAAAGGUCUUCCCUGUAGAACAGUGUGUUGUUGCAGGUGGCAGUGGUGUACCAAACUUUCUCCUAUCGCUUCAACAGAGUCCUGCCGGCCUCACUGCAGUCUGUUGGCCAUAGUAGUGUUCAGGAGGAAGACACAGGAUCCUCACUGUGCUGGGAGAGCCCCUCUUUUGCUCAGGAGUCUCUGUGACUCUAGCCCCACAAUCCUGGUGGCAUUCAUCUCUACUCCCAGCAGCGCUGUUUGAAGGGUUUGCUCCUGCUGCUCCACAUCAAGGCUCACUAAGAACUCAGAGGCCCACAGCCAGGACUCCAGAGCAUUGCAAAUGAGUAGGAUACUGAAACCUGAAGACCAGAGGAGACAGAGUUUCUCUGUGCAGGCCUGGCUGUCCUGGAACUCACUCUGUAGACCUGGCACUCUGUAGCUCCACACUCAGAGACCUGCCUGCCUCUGCCUGCUGAAUGCUGGAAUUCAAGUCUUAAAAGCCCUGAUUUAAACUUGCAGGACUGUUGGGAAUGGCAGUAGCAAGGCAGGCUUCUGCUAGUGACAAGGAUGAGGCAAGAUAAGGAAUACCAGGUGACAGUGCAUGAGCGGGGAUGGGGGUUUUAAGUGUCCCGAGGACCAACUUCCACUCACUCUUGAAUCUCCUUGUGCCUGGCACAGCCAGAGACGCUAUUUAAAGUCCUUCAUGUUAUAGGCUACACCACUGCCUUCCAUGUCCCUCUUGACCAUUUCCAUUACAACAUUAUGUAGCCAAGCUACAGGCUGCUGCACACCUUCUCAAUAUCAUCCUUUCUGCCUAGAAUAGCCCCCCAAAGCCCCCAUAUGAACCAGUCAUAGUUUCCAUCUCCUCCAUAAACUCCACUCAGCUUGGGGUAAGAAAAUGUGUGUCUGCUGGCAUGACAGCACAGUCACACCCUAUCAUAGGGGAUCAUGAAAGCAGUAUGGAUAGUGUAUGUGUGUGGAUUCCAUAGAAACAAGUUCUCAACCUGCCGUGCAAGGGGUUUUGCCUUUGUACAAUGUCAGUAUAAGUCGUUCACAUUUCUUCCUUCCAAUUUUAUCAUUUCCUUUUGGACCGUCACAGGAGACCAGGACAAUAAAGAUUUUAGAGUUUAAAAAAUAAAAUUUCAAUCACUGUAAAAUUUAAAUAUUGACAAAAACUGUCAUUGGAAAUCAAUAGCAGAUGGUGUUUUUGUUUUCAAUAUGUACAAACAUAUGUAUGGUACCCUGAUAUGUAGUCAGAGCUAAGAACAUCAUGUUAUCUAACCUGUCAAUUCCAAUCAAAUUGAAAACAGCUCAAAUACUCAAAGGCAGAGAUCUGGGUCACCAACUUCACCUUAUCAAUACCCUGAAUGAAGAACCCUCCAUCCCCAGCCUGCCUCUCUCUGUGUGCCCUUCAGGCAGGGCACUUCCUUAUUGUAGUCUCAGUUUUAUCCAAUACACAGGCUAAUGGACCAUC